rnacentral:sRNA from 1 species
CUGUAGAACACCUGUGAAUCUUGCAAGAUUCGAGAUGUAACCUUUCCCAUCAUCCUGUGCUUCUCUUCUAGAUGUCAGCCAGGAAGAAUCUCCCUCCGUAAUACCAGCCCACCUCGUCCAGGAAAGCCAGAAGGACCACCCCCACAAGGAGGCAACCAGUCCCAAGGUCCCCCACCUCGUCCAGGAAAGCCAGAAGGACAACCCCCACAAGGAGGAAACCAGUCCCAAGGUCCCCCACCUCGUCCAGGAAAGCCAGAAGGACAACCCCCACAAGGAGGAAACCAGUCCCAAGGUCCCCCACCUCGUCCAGGAAAGCCAGAAGGACAACCCCCACAAGGAGGAAACCAGUCCCAAGGUCCCCCACCUCGUCCAGGAAAGCCAGAAGGACAACCCCCACAAGGAGGAAACCAGUCCCAAGGUCCCCCAC